rnacentral:lncRNA from 1 species
AUGGAUGAGUGGGUUUUACUUCCCGGGCCAUUACAGAUUCUGAUGCGGAGGGGUGGUUGCUGGAGGAGGAGGUCAGGAGAAAGGCAGGCAAGGAUCCUGAGAACAAGGGCUUUCAGAGGCUACAGCUUCCAGGUCUUCACCUCUGUCACUGUGAGUCCCUCACGUGUGAUCUCGCUUAGUUUGGCAAGAACCAUGACGACCCUCGACAGGCUGUCAGGGAUGUCAUGGGGGGAAGUAUUUCAGUCCAAGAAAGGAGAUUUGGGGUGGGGCUUCCAGUUCCCAUGGGAGCUGGGCAGGAAUGGAUGUGCCAGACUUGGCACUGUGGAGAGAGGACAGAUAGGCUGGCAACCCAGGCCUACGGGAGCAAAAUGGGGACCUAGGCCAGGCAGAGAGGCAGCCUUGGACCUCAUGUGGAGGGUGGACUGUGCGGACCCAGUCACAAACCCCUUCGGGCACCAGUGAGAGAGUGGGGAGGGAGUAAGCCCUGAGUUAACUGCUGAUGAGGGUGGCAGCAUUAGAGACCCUGCCACCCUGACUCACACAUCAGGAUGUCUUGGGGCCAAAGACAUGUGUGAAGGAGGAAGACACUCUGAGAGCUAAGGGCCCAUGGAAGGAGACAGUAGCUGAGUUCCCAAGACGGCAAAAACGAGAGCAGGGCUAGGAACAGAAAGUGGGUGACACUCAGCAGGGGGAGGGACGAGCAAUGAGCGUGCCCACAGCUGUCACAUCUGACCAGCAUCUUUCUUGCAGGUAAAGAGCCCUGCGAAGCUGGCUCCUGGGGGCUGAGUCCUCACCCUGAGUGAGACUACAAAUGCAGAGCCUGAGAAGCGACAAAUUGGGGCCUGUAGUCAGGCAAGCCUUUCAUCCAGGUCAUGGGGUUCUCAAGGCAAGAAUGGUGAACUGACUUGCCAUUCCCUUCUUCAGUGGACCAUAUUUUGUCGGAACUCUCCACCAUGACCCAUCCAUCUUGGAUGGCCCUGCACAGCAUGGCUCAUAGUUUCAUUGGGUCAGACAAGGCUGUGGUCCAUGGGAUCACUUUGGUUGCUGCUGCUGCUGCUAAGUCACUUCAGUCAUGACCGACUCUGUGCGACCCCA